UACGGGGGGGGUUAGCGUUGUUCGGAAUUACUGGGCGUAAAGCGCGCGUAGGCGGACCAGAAAGUUGGGGGUGAAAUCCCGGGGCUCAACCCCGGAACGGCCUCCAAAACUCCUGGUCUUGAGUUCGAGAGAGGUGAGAGGAAUUCCGAGUGUAGAGGUGAAAUUCGUAGAUAUUCGGAGGAACACCAGUGGCGAAGGCGGCUCACUGGCUCGAUACUGACGCUGAGGUGCGAAAGUGUGGGGAGCAAACAGC
rnacentral:rRNA from 1 species